UGGGCGUAAGGGCUCGCAGGCGGUUUCUUAAGUCUGAUGUGAAAGCCCCCGGCUCAACCGGGGAGGGUCAUUGGAAACUGGGGAACUUGAGUGCAGAAGAGGAGAGUGGAAUUCCACGUGUAGCGGUGAAAUGCGUAGAGAUGUGGAGGAACACCAGUGGCGAAGGCGACUCUCUGGUCUGUAACUGACGCUGAGGAGCGAAAGCGUGGGGAGCGAACAGGAUUAGAUACCCUGGUAGUCCACGCCGUAAACGAUGAGUGCUAAGUGUUAGGGGGUUUCCGCCCCUUAGUGCUGCAGCUAACGCAUUAAGCACUCCGCCUGGGGAGUACGGUCGCAAGACUGAAACUCAAAGGAAUUGACGGGGGCCCGCACAAGCGGUGGAGCAUGUGGUUUAAUUCGAAGCAACGCGAAGAACCUUACCAGGUCUUGACAUCCUCUGACAAUCCUAGAGAUAGGACGUCCCCUUCGGGGGCAGAGUGACAGGUGGUGCAUGGUUGUCGUCAGCUCGUGUCGUGAGAUGUUGGGUUAAGUCCCGCAACGAGCGCAACCCUUGGUCUUAAUUGCCAGCAUUCAUUUGGGCACU
rnacentral:rRNA from 1 species